AACGACUGGUCGGCGUGCUAACACAUGCAAGUCGAGGGGUCGAUUAGGAAAAGUACCUUCGGGAUUCGGAUUACUUGACCUAGUGGCGGACGGGUGGAGUAACGACGUGAGCAAUCUGCCUUUGGGAUGGGGGAGUAACAGCCGGAAACGACUGCUAUACCGCAUGAUGCAGCGGGGUCGCAUGAUUUGCUGCCAAGAUUUAUCGUCCAAGAUGAGCUCGCGUCUGAUUAGCCAGUUGGCGGGGUAACGGCCCGACCAAAGCGACGAUCAGUAGCCGGACUGAGAGGUUGAACGGCCACAUUGGGACUGAGACACGGCCCAGACUCCUACGGGAGGCAGCAGUGGGGAAUAUUGCGCAAUGGGGGAAACCCUGACGCAGCAACGCCGCGUGAGUGAAGAAGGCCUUCGGGUUGUAAAGCUCUUUAAUCAGGGAUGAAGAAUGACGGUACCUGAAGAAUAAGCUCCGGCUAACUACGUG
rnacentral:rRNA from 1 species